rnacentral:rRNA from 1 species
UACGUAGGGUGCGAGCGUUGCCCGGAUUUAUUGGGCGUAAAGGGCGCGUAGGCGGCUCUGCACGUUCGUUGUGAAAUCGCCCGGCUCAACUGGGCGGGGUCAGCGGAUACGGCGGAGCUUGAGCAAGCUAGGGGGCAAUGGAAUUCCCGGUGUAGUGGUGGAAUGCGUAGAUAUCGGGAGGAACACCAGUGGCGAAGGCGGUUGCCUGGAGCUUUGCUGACGCUGAGGCGCGAAAGCGUGGGGAGCGAUCCGG